rnacentral:lncRNA from 1 species
AAUUGGCCACAAUCACGCACUGAGAGGUCUCUUAAGUUUGGGAAGAUUGCAUUCAAAUUCUCUUUGCCAUAUUCAUCCUCAGUGUCUAUAAUGUGCUCAAGUCCGUGACAUUGCUCGAUUCUCAAGAUUUCCAACAUCAGUAAUGAAGCAAUGGACAAUUUAAAAAUGUACUUUACCUUAUCAAAGCCAUUCAUGUUAAUCUCUCUUAUGUUAUGCAUAAUAAUCAAGGUCAAACCAUGUGGUGGUUUUGAAAUAUAUUGAACACUUUCAACUGGGAAAAUAGAAUCUGAGUUCGAUAUCUGCAAUACAUACACCAAGUUACUUGUUAAACCAAACUAAUUAGUGUCUUAACUUUAAUUAUUAAUGUAUUUCAUUUCUAACAAAUAAUUGUUUAUGAAAAUAAAUUAUUUUUGUUUAGCACAACAAGAAAAAGUUGAAAAGAGAAUAAUUUCACAAAAGUAAUCUAUUCCAAAUAAUCUAUGCCAAUACUUAGAUAUUAAAAAAUUCAUGUUGCACCUUCGGUAUAGUGCUUGUAAGACCAACUUUUAUUUUUAGCACAAAAUGAUCGUGCAAUUCAAAUGUUUUGAGUAAUUUUUCUAAAUACACGAAGAGAGAGACAAAGUAAGUGAUGAUAAUCAUACCUUGAUUGCAAUAUAAUCCUCUUGUCUAGCUUUUGAAGAAUCUGCUGAACAAUUUAUAGUGAAAAACUCAACACAUCUUCCAGUAGUCAAUGAUAGUUUUCCUAAAGAUGGACAUCUUACAUGAUAAUUGCCUAGAAGAGAGUUAUCCAUGAUACGAACAAGUACGAGUAUUUCUAAAGCAGGAAGCUCAAUUUGAUUAUUAUUUUGUUGUUGACUUGAAAGAUCUUUCAAAUUAGAAGCCUCUUUAUUUCCUAUUUCCAUGCCUCCAACAAAAGAGAUAGGGAACAUACAUUGCAAUAAGUCACAUUCACUGAUAUUUAGCGUUUUCAAACUUUGGAAGAUUGAAAUAUCACUCUGAAAGUCAUGGUCAUCCUGGACAAUGUUUUCCUUCUGUUGAUUGACCCUUUCAUGAGUUACUAUAUGUUUCAAACUAUUGCACCUUUUUAUGAUCAACACUUCCAAAAAAGUCAAGGUCUUAGCUAUAGAUGCUGUAAAAAUUGAGCCUAACUUCGGACAAUCGAUUAUCGUAAGGCUUGCAAGGCUUGAUAAAGUUCCUGAAAAGCAAUUAUAAAUAAGAAAAAUAUCGCUCAACAUAUUAGAGUUCGUUAUAUAUAUGUUAUGUGUGCAAGUUACAUUCUAAUUUUGAAGACAUUGGUUUCUAGGGACGGAACUGCAAUCCUAAGCAUCAAACGAUUCGUUAAUAAUGAUGAAAAGAAUCAUACAAAACAAAUUUUUUUAAAAUAAUUCGAAAUUAUCUAAAAAGUUUAAAAUGCAAAUAUAAUUGUCUUUAAUUUUGAUUGGAGACAAAUUUUGCUCAUAGUGCAUUAAGAAGUAGUAGGUUUAAGUAAAACUAGAUUAGUAAUGUCUUGAGUUUGAACCACGUGAAUGAAAAAUAACAGAUUAGCAGUUUUCAUCUAACUUGUAAAUAACUUCAACUAAGCAAUAACAUGUAGACUUCUUAAUAUGUACCUGGGCUAUGGUUCAAAAUUGUUGUUGAUGGAGUUGAAGUGCUAUACAAAUGUGGAUGCUUACCUUCCUCAACGAUUUCAGCAAGUUCUUCUUUUUUAUCCUGGUAUGUUAAUGGAUCAAUAUCCCCAAAUAUUUGAUCUAACAUGUUGCAUUCUUGUAUAUUGAGCACUUUCAAUUGAGCUAAGCCUUUUAAAACACUGGUCGAGAAUAUAUCUUUUAAUUCUCUACAUCUAUUUACCUCUACUUCCUGAAGAUUUUGGAAGAUUUGUACAGGAUGCCCAAUGGUGAAUUCACAUUGAUUUUUCUCUCUUUUCUCAUCAUCUGCUAAUAUAUGUUUCAGUCCAUCACAUUCUGAUAUUUUUAAUAUUUUCAAUUGUACCAAACAUCGAGCAACGACAUACGUGAAGAGAGAUGUCAACCGUGGACAAUCACUUAAAUACAACUCCUCUAAGUUCUCAAAAGGCCCAUUGGCAGGUUGAAAACAAUGCCAUAAAGCUCUUAGACUUUUCAUGUUAUUCAUUCUGAGCGUAUGCAACUUUGAGAAGAAAGUUACCACCUCACUCAAAUGGUUACUAGUUUCAAUCAAGCACUCUAUCUCUUCAGAAUCCUGUAUCUCAAACUUAUUCAGUUCAUCCAAACCUCCUCCUUCAAUUUGAAAUAUAUCAGGGAUGAUAUUUUUUGCGCCUCCCUGAAUAUUUGCUACAACUAGAUCUGUUGCUUUUUUUGCCAAACCCUUAAUUACCUCAUUUGAUAUGUCAAAAUGGUUAAGUAAUAGAGUUCUGGAAGGAGGGUGAAGAUAAUUAUAAUUAUAAUAAAAGUCAUUGUAUCCCAAUACAAUUGCAUACCUUUGCAAUGUUUGGGGGACACUAAACGUGUUAAAGAAUUCAAUAUUGUCUUCACUGUUAGCUUUCCAUUUUUCUUCAACAAUGUACAACUCUUCUAGUCGUGGGGUUCUUUUUAUCACUUCAAAAUUCUUCCCUUUCAUUUUACAUCUGUAGAACUGUAACAAUUUUAAGGUUGUUAUUUGUGUAAUUGCAACAUUGGUUUGUAAUUCAGGAAAUGAAGGCAAUGAACAAUCAUUCAUCGAAAGACUUUGAAGUUUUUUCAUAUUGUUUACAAAUGAGAAGUCGCUCAAUUCAUAGCCAGAAAUAACUAGAUAACGAAGAUUCGUUAAUGUUUUUAAAGACAUUGUGGACAAUGGUGUUAUUCCAACAUUAUCAUUGGCUAGAAUUAAAACUUUGAGAAUUUCCAUUCUUUUGAAGAUUCCAUCAAAUUCUUCCAAUUUUGUCUUUAAGAAUAAAAACUCAAGAUUUGAACAAUCCAAAUCAUUUGGAAAUUUUACACACCAUAGACAUCUUAUUGAAUUUUGUUCAAUAGUCACAUCUUUUUCCACUUCGCACUUGAUGAUCUUAUUCUCAUUCUUUGCUAUCAGGUGGGCCACAUCGCGAACUAAGUCAUGCAUUUUUACACAUUCAUUCUUUUCAUCCAACAAUAAACAAGAACUAACGAGCUUAAUUUUGGUUGCAACCACUUCACUCCUUGCCUCCUCAUAAGAGUGUGCUUCUCCAACUACACCUAAUCCUAUAGCAUAUCUUGUUAAAGAUUCAAUUGGAAUUUCAUAAUCUUCAGGGAACACAGAACACAAUAGGAAAAGUGAUUUAGCUUCUUUAGUAUCCAAAUUAUCAUAGCUCAGCUGCAAGCACUUGUAGGGAUCAAUCAAACCUCUUUCAAUAUUUACUGGCUUAGAACUUCUCAAUUUAUUCAAUGUAACACUCCAUAUCGUCUCAGCUUUUCCCUUCAAACUACUGGCAACAGCUGCAACGGCAACAGGCAAUCCUUUACACUCAUUGGAAAUUAAUUUACCCAUAUGCUUUAAGGUAUCAAGGGUGUCUUCAGAUAUAAGGGCUUUAUUUUGAAAAAGAGUCCACGCUUCUUCAUCCGUUAAAAUUGGCAGGUAAAUCAUUCUUUGACAAUCCAUUGAAGUACAAACUUCUUCUGAUCUAGUGGUAAUGAGAAUCUUGCAACCUUUAUGGUGUUCAGAGGAGGGAAUUCCAAUGCCACCAUAGUCAAGUUUCUCCCACACAUCAUCUAGAAUUACAAGAAUGUUUUUCUCCUGGUUUAAUCUCAAGCACAAUCGUUGGGCCCUCUCCAUUACUUCAGUUUCUGGAAAUGUAUACUGCAAUGAACUUGCAAUUUUUUCUUGAAUCCUUUGAACUUCCACUGUACUAGAAAUAGGCACAAAAAGAACUUUUUCAAAACAAUGUUCUGCUUCUACUAACUUCUUAACCUCCAUUGCUAAUGUGGUUUUACCACAACCCCCCAUCCCAUACAAUCCAAUCAUGGAAACAUCAUUAUUUUUCACUGCUUCCAGUAGUUGCUCAUAUGCAGAUUGUCUACUCUCAAAAUUCAUGGAUUUUUCUAAGAGAAUAUCAAGGGUGCCUGAAGGAAGUGUAGCAAUGCGGUCAAAUGGCACAUAAUGUCUACCCUUUUCGAUGAACUUUUCAAGGUCCACUGUUUUAUUUGCUAACUUUUUUCCUACACGGUAUCGCCAAAUCAAAUUUGGACAAUGCCCAAAGCAACAGAUUUUUUUGGCUUUUGCCUCUUUCAACAACUGAUUCACAUUGUCUGCAUCAUUGAUAGCAUCUUGCAGCCACUUGUCAACAACUUCACUGGUCUUUCUUGUUUGUUUCUUUGCAUUUGUAACAAAUUUUUGGACACUGUCUUUCGUUACAAUCAAAUCGCCCUCUUCUUCUUCAAGUUUUUUUACGAAAUUGUUAAAGCAACAAGGAUAACGUAAUUGAUUUAAUGUUCCACAUACUAAAUCUCUUGAAACAGAAGAUGCAAAACCCAAGAGGCACUCCAUCAAUUUGUUCCACCAAAUGCAACUUUCUUUUACUUGAACAAGAGAAGAUGAAUACUCCAUAGUUAGUUUUAUAAUUAUAUUUAGAUGUAUUAGAAAAUAAAAGAUUUUAAGAUCGCAUUACAUAUUGGAGUACGUCACUUUUAUAGUAAAAUUACAGAAAAGGUUAUGAUAUUAUGUUUAGUAAUUAGAUUUAAUGUUUCAUACCUUAUAUAAUAAUUAUUGGACAUAGAAAUAAAAAUAAAUCUAAUAACUUUAAUGAUUACUUUUAAAAGUUCAUGUGUGAUAAGAUUUUUAAAUUUCCUUUUCAUCACUUAGAAAAUUUUAUCAAAUAUAUUUAUUUUUAAAUAAUUUUGUUUCAAAAAAUUCUUAUCCUCCCUAAAAAAAAUUAUAUUUAAACAUGUGCUUAAAUGACACCCAAAUAGAUCAAAAGAUUUGUUAAGUAGAAAAAAAAAGUGUACGAGUAAAAAAUGUAUUUAACCAAAACUUAAAAUAUGCAUUAUAUAUAAAAUUAAUAUUAUAUAUAUUUUGUAAGUUUAAUUUUAUUAAUAUUUAUUUAAAUUUAUACAAGCUCUUAGAUAUAGCACUUUUUGAUAAAUUUGCAAAUAGGAGAAUAACAAAUGUUGGUAAUUUCUAAAUCAGAAUAUUUUUCCAAGAUUCUUGGAGUAGAAUAACAUAUAAAACGAUACAAGGUUCAAGAAAAAGUCAUCAAUUUUCAGAGUUUGAUAGAGGUGUUCGUAAAGCAGAGAAUUAGAGUUUUCUUAGUGUUUUAUUUUCUUCAUUAUAAUCCUUUAAAUUUGUCUCCAUAUGGAAGGUUAAACCCCUUAGGAUUCAUUUUCUUGUGUUUUUGCAAUAAAUUGAGGUUUAUGUUCUAUAAAAUUGUAUUCUUAAAUUCUCUAUAGCAAAUUGUGUUUUAUUGUUAGUCUUUUUGGAAUGUGGUUUUUGUCAAAAUAUUUGUUUUUUAACGCUUAUUGAGAAUUUAGCUAAUUUCUUUAAUUUGAUUCGCUUAGUCUUAAUCAAUGUCUUGUUUGCUUAAUUGAAGAGGUAGAAGAUAAACAUCUAACAAGUAGACAUUGAAACUUGUGAGAUACUGAAUACAUCAGUGGACACUUGUUUUGGUGAUAUUUAAUUAAUUACCAAGUUUUGGAUAUCAAUUUUAGAAUCUAAAAUAGUUGGUGGCUAAAACCUUGGUAGCUAAUUAAAUAUUAAUUUAAAAACUAAUUUAUAAAUUUAGAAACUACUUUAACUACCAAUAAUUCUUUUAAUUUCUAAAAUAUUACUUAAUUUAUUCAAUAUAGUGACUAAUUAUUUUUUGUUUCUAAAAAUAAUUUCUAAAAUUAGUCUAUUUAAUAAUUUUCUUGUAGUGCAUAUUAUGAUUAAUAUAAAAUGACAUGUGAUUUUUAUUUUUUUUAAUUAAAUAAUGUGUUGGAUAACAAAGGACUAUCAUUGUCACUUACAUCAAUGACAAUGACGACAAUUCCUUGAUCGUUGUAGAUGUUGACGUGAAAGUAAUAGGUAAGUAUGACAAUCUUGUUAUCCAACACAUUUUUAAUAAAAGCAAUAAGAAUCACUUCUGAUACAUUAACAAUAAUAUCAUUUUGUAUGUACUAUACAACAUACAUUUUUAACAUGUGGAAACAAAUAAGAUGUCGAAUCAAAAUAAUAGUCAUGUCACUUUAUUAAUGAAAAAUAAACGACAAAAACUCAAUUAAAAAUAUAUUUUUUUAAUUAAAAGUAUCUAAAAAGAUACUUGAAAUUUAAUUAAGUCUAAAAUAAAUGAUUUUUUUUAGCUCAUUACAUAUACUUAGCUACAUUGAACUGAGUGAGUUAGACUAGGUACUUUAUGAGUUCUUCUCAAAUUAAACCAAGACUCGAGUGCUUUAAAAAUUCUACACAAACUUCUAUUGUUUUGAAAGCCUUACAUUAUCACUGUUUGUUAAAUCACACAUGCAAUUUCAUUAAAAACCGUUAAUAUAGGUAUAAUUCAAUUUCAUUAAAAACAAUUAAUAUAAGUAUAAUUUGUGAGAAUAUUAAGAAGUAUGAUUGUAUUUUACUCACCCAUUCAUUAUUCACAUCAUGAUGAUUGGAUGUGAUUUUUAAUAAAAAUUUCCAAUGUAAAAAGUGUUUGAAUGUUUUUUCCUACACUUUUAUACCUUCUUCGGGCAUCCGUAUUUACAAGUAAGGUCAAAAUAUCAUUUUAUCCUUAAAAAUAUACUUCUGAAUUUUACAAUUUGAAAGUGUUAUUUUUUCUAUGUUCGAAAUAAUUCAAAAGGUAUAAUGCUUUUCAGAUUUUACAAUUUAAAAUAUAUUUUUUUCUUUAAAAAAAUUUAUUCUGAAAUACAUAAUCCAAAAGUUUUCCUAAAUAUGAUAAUAGCUUUCCUAAAUAUGAUAAUAGCUUUCAGAUUGUACAAUUCAUAACAAUCUAUUACUAUAAUAUUCAGAUUGUCCAAUCCAAAAGAUAUUUUCAAAUCCGAAAAUACUUUUCAAAUUCUACAAUCUAAAUAUAAUUUUAAAAUAUAUUUUGGAUUGUACAAUUUAAAAUUAUCCUUACAAAAUAAAGUCCAAAAUACAUUAUAAUAAAGAGUAUUAUAGAUUUUAUAAUCCAAUAUAAUAAAAAAAAUAAACGAAUGGAAAAUUCUAAUAUGUACUCGUAAUGUUAGGGUUGGAAUUAAAAAAAAAAUAUGGAAAUUUAGGAGAAAGAAAAAACGUGUAGGGAAGAAACAUGUGUGUUCCCUAAUUGAUAAUGGAAUAUGAAAUAUAGAUCAUGAAUGUUUCUCGCUGCCGCAUUUUUAUUAAAUAUCAUUUUUAAAUGGGAAGAGAUAUAAAAACAGUGUAUUAUAAUAGUUAAAAUUAAUAUAAUAAAACUAAAAGUUGUAUUGUCUGAUGGAAAAAUACAUUAAUAUAUAAAAAAAAUAUUUAUAAAAUUUAAAAGAUAUUACGAUUACUUUAUUUUAACAGGAUUUAUAUAUGUACGAAAUAAAUAAGAGCAAAAAUAUCUUUAAAAAUAGUGUAAGAAAAAGUAUCCGUCUUAUAUAUUAUCAAUGGAAAUAUAGAGACCGAUGAACAAUAUUUUUUAUUACGUUAAAAAUAAAUAACCUUCUAAGAAUAAUUUUAAAAAUAUAUGAUAAUUAUUUUUAAGAAAAAUUAUUAUAUAAUUGUUUUUAGUAGAGAAACUAUAUACUUACUUAUUUACUAAAAAAAUUAUUUAAUUUAUUAAAAGAUAAAAUUAUCUAAUUAAAAAAUGACAAAAAAUAGUUAUAAAAAAUAUUUUCUGAUACAAAUUGUUAAUAAUAGUAAAUUAAUUAACCCUAAUAAUAAAAAAAAGUGAUAAUAAAUAAAUAAUGAAAAAAAUAAUAUUGAUAAUAUAAUAAAGAAUAAUAACAAUAAAAAAUUUACUUAUUUUUAUUUUAAUUUAAAUAAUUUAAAAAUAAUAAUUUCUACUCUUUUUAUUUUCUCAAUUAACACUGUUUUAUAUUUGUUCUCUCAUUUUUUUAUUUCAUUAAUUUAUUUUCCCCCUAUUUGGUUUCUCAAGGCAACUUGUAAGGCUGCAAAAUUCCUUCUGAUCAAGUGAAAAAAAUCAAAUUCUCAAAUCCAAUUUAUAUUUAUUUAAAUUUAUAUUAUUUUAAGUUUAUUUAAAUAGAUUUAUUUGAAAUCCAAUUUUUAUUUUUACAUUUUAACUUCAAUCUAUUUUAAUUGGCGUUGGAAGGAAUAUUGAAUAGUUUUUAAUUUUGAAAAUCUAAAAUCACGUAAGUCUAAAUCAUUUUAAGUUAUAAAAAACUAAGUUGAGCUAAACCCAAGUAAAAUAUUACUGGAUCGGACUCAUGUAAGAUCAGCCCAAGUUGAUCCGAGCUCAACAAUUGAGCUCAAUCCAUUCAGUUCUAGUUCAAUCAAGUUGUGUUGUGUCCAAAUCAAACGAAGCAUGAUUGGAUUAGGUUAGGUUAAUCCUAGAUAGAGUCGAUUUUGCCUAAGUCCAAGUCAACUAAGACUUUGGUAAGAUUAAAACGGACUAGUUAAGUCGAAACAAGUCAAGUUGCGUUUAUAUUCAAUCAAUACAUCGGAUCCAUAUUGAGUUGAAACCAUGUUUAACUAAAUUGAGUUAAUUCCACGAUAAGUCAAUUAGGUUGAUCUCACCUCAGAUUUAAGUAAAUUUAAUCUAAAGUUAAUCCAUUUCAAAAAUUAAUUAAAAAAAUUCAAAAUCAAUUUAAUUUAGUUAAAAUAGAUAUGUAUUUUAAUUUUGAAAAUUUUCCACGCAUGAUCCUCCGAACUUCUCAUCACACUUUUCCCUCCCAUCCAGCUAUUCCCAUUUUGAACUCUAUCGUCCAUGUGGUUGUUUAUACUGAGUUUUCACAAAUGUUUGAGUAUUUGUAAUAAAAGUUGUUUAUAAUAGUUAUUUAUAAAUAAAAUUAUUAUUUUAAUGUAACUUCUAUCCAUAUAAAUGGUUUAAAUUUAAAAAUAAUUAUUUAUAAAUUAAAGGGAGUUAUUAUUUUAGAAGAAAAAGAGAGUAGGUGAAGUAAAACAAAAGUGCAAAUAGAAGUCUUAAUUUAUGGGAAAAUAAGAAAGAUUCAGCUAAUACAAAUUGUUUUUUCAGAUCUCGCAUAAAAAACAGAGUAUCUAGUGUUUUGAUCCACAAGAUGAAGCAGAUAUAGUUGUCUGAACCUGUUCAUGGUUCAUAUCUAACUAAUUUGGAAGAAGAGGAAAGAUAUGAAAUAUUACCUUCUUUAACUAAUAUGUAGAGAGAGAUGAAAGAAAGAAGUGGUGAUCCAUCACUUCAAUACAAGAGAAGCUGAAACGUUACGUUUCUGCACAAACAUAAACACAAACACAUUAUCUACAACUUCAAUUGAAAAGGAAUCGAUUAGAAAUUGAAAACAAAGCAGAAGUUAACUUCACGCUGAUGCAUACCUCCACAGAGAUGAAAGUACUCCAUUGCUUGAUUCAUACAUGCACAGAGAUGAAAGGAAUCCAUUGGUUGAAUGAAGAACAGAGUAAAACAGAGAAUCCUGCAAGAGAUAAGAAUGAAAGCAGAGAAGUGAACCCAACCACACCUUUUGGCUAUCAGAGUCACAAUCGGUUUUACAAUUCAAGUAUUUGUGAAAAGAAUACAUGUGGAUUUGUUUUAUACAUGUAGUUUAAGUAAAAUUAUUUAAAAAUAAUUCUUCAAAAUAAAGACUCAGAUAAUACAAUUCAAAUAAAAUUUCGCACUAAAAUAUAAAUGUAAAUAAAUUUGCUCUUUCAAAAAAAAAUUUAAAAUAAAUUGCACACAAGUUCAAAAAAAUUAAUAUUUCUAAAAAUAAUUUUAAUUUCACAAGUCUAAAUAGAAAUAUUUAAAUAUAUAAAAUUAAAUUCUAAAUAAUUUUUCAGCGUUUAAUAUUUCUCUAGCAGAUACAAUAAUUAACGGGUAAGGGGUAUUUGUGGAUAAUAUGAUACCCUUAUCCUUAGAGUGAAUAAUUAAAAUAUCCAUACAUAUUAUUUAUGGAUAACUAUUAUUUGGAACGCAGUUUUUUCAACACUUUCUUUGAAAAAAUCUUUGAUGUUUGAGAAACUUUUACAAAAUCUUUGUGAAAGAAGAAAAAAAAAUGUAAACAUUCAUUAUAAGAAAAAAAAAAUAUUUAGAAGUUUGAUGUAAUGUUCAAAACUUUAAUUUGUUGUAAAUAUUUGAUUAAGUCCUAUAUUUUGUUUUUCAUGUAUACUACACCAAGUUUCCUUAACAAUUUUAUUAUGAUAAUCUUUUAACUUUUCUACCAAAGUAGAUACGAUGUACAUUAUCUUUUAUUACAUGUCUCGUGAAUUUAUGGUUGAUGGUAAAUAAUUGAAAUCUUUAUUAAUUUUAUUGAGGUACAUUGUCCAAGUUCUGUGAAAAUAAUAUUAUGCCAAAAAAUAAACAGAAAAUUUUCUUACUCUUGACUAUUUAAAAUAAGUGGGAAAUUUUUAAUAAGUUACACUUGUUAUCAAUCUUGUUUUUCAGAUUUUUUUCAUAAUUUUUUAUUUAAUCUUUGCUGGGUUUAUUAUUGUAGAGCAUAAAGAUAAUUUUGGUUGCAUAUGGCUAAGACAGUGAAAUGUUGAAUAUAAGUGAUUGCUGCAUUAGAAGAAAGAGGAAUGCCAAAUGGGCUAAUGUAACACUCAAUGCAACUCCUUUUUCUUUUUUCUCAAACAUAAUAUUGUUGGAAUCAUAUCCACAGAGAAACAUGGUGAACUCAUUAAGACAUACAUAAAAUAAAUAUAAGGUAUUACAAAAUGACAAUGGCACUCAUUGAAGGAAGGAACAUAAAAGAAAUGGUUUUUGUAGUUUUGUCUCACCAAGACCAACCUCUUACACAACAAUAAAUAAGAUAGCAAACAUACAACAAAAUAGAACAAGCAAAAGACAGAACAAUAUUCUAUAGUUGCAAGUCUUCCUUUUGAGUGAUGAACAAUUCGGUCUUUAAUAACAGUGAACAAUGAAAAUUCUCAUGAGAGAUUUCUAGCAGCCAUGCGAUUAUACUCAUAUUGACUACAGAGAAAUGACCAUUUAUAAGUCACCUCAAAUAACUUUUGUUGAACUUUUCUUUCAUCUUCCACCAUUUGAGACCGGUCUUUCCUCACAUUUUCAAGCUCCAUUUUAUACCCAAUAGUUUCUACAAUCCUUUUAUUUUUCCUCUUCCAGAGAUGAUAAGGCAUCCUCACAAACUUUUAUUUCUUCCUUCAACCUAAUGAUUUGUUCCUUCAAAACUACUUCCUUCAGUUGAGCUUCAUCAUAGAAAUUCCUUGCCUCGGAAAUUUUGGAACCAAGAGUAGUGGCCACCUCAUUCCCACGAGCUUCAAGUUCUGCUAACUUGUCAGUGGUAGCAAAGCCUUGCUUAAAGGAGUGUACAAUGCUUGGGAACUCUUGCUGCAUAGUGCCUAUAAUAUCUUUGAGUCCAUCUGAUAGAGUUACAUCUUUGAAAGGAAGGUUGGACAGGAAAUUAAGAGCAGACAAAAGGCUAAUGCUGUUAGUCUCAGAGCUAACUAUGUCCUUCAAAGACAUCUUUAUAUACUUUUCCAACUCAAGAAGGGUCUUUCCAACUAUGUUGUCUUCACCCUCUUUCCCCACAAUAACAGAUGCAUAUAAACUCAUGAUAUCACUGGUCCCAAAGUCUUGAAUAAUUUUAGAAUGGCCUCCACUUUCUUUAGUAGUGUGUGUCUCGGUUUGGCUGCUCCUAAUUUCACUCUUGGAGGAAUAAGAAGAAAAUAUAACAAAAAAGACGUUAGCAUCAAGCCACAACAGUUGUAAAGCAUUGAGUUCCUUAAACCAUUUUUUAUCAAAUCCUAUUUGUGAGAGUGAUGGUAACAAAUUCAUUAAAUUUAAAUUCCAACUUGAAAUUCAGUACCUUUUGUUUUUUAAUUCCACUCUUGCAGCAAAUGAUAAAUUAGAAUGGCAACAUCAUUUUUUAUGCUGACCAAAUAUGUUGGAAAUGUGAAUUGCAUAAAAUAAACUUACAUGUGGAUGUGAUUUAGUUUGCAAAGUAAAUAUUUGGUCCAACUGUGAGCUAGUGGAUUCGGAAUGAAUUGAAGAAGCUGCCAUACCGGUGUUCUUUGCUAUGGUUUCAUCAACAGCAACUCGCUCAAUAAUACUCUGCACAAGAACAAGAAAUAUGUAGUUUUGGUGUAUGCCGUUUUAUUUUCAAAAUGACAAGAUGUGUGUCAAUAAAAUGCCUCGGUUUUAUUUUGUUCGUCAUUUACCUGAGGAAUUUUGGGGCUACUUACAAUUUCUCCUAGUGGCUUUUGUUGGUUCAUCAAACACGGUUCACUAAUCCGUUGUUUGUCCACCAAUGCCUAAAGAAAGUAAUGAAUAGGUGUAAAAUCAUUGUAGACUCAAUACUAUUUUUUCAUCCAAUACUCGAAAAAAUAUUUUUAGACUCACAUUUGAGUGUGUUUCAUGUAGAGGUUUAUUCAAAUAACUUGAACUUGGCCUUUCAACUAGUUGCAAGUUUGUUAAUGAUGUUGUCGUUCUUGGUAUUUCUGAAGUGGAAACUUUUGCAACAAAUUCCUUCUCUGGUUCUUCAUUUCUUGCAGUCACAAUGCGGUCAUUGGAAACAACAGCUAUUUGACCUUCUUUGUCAACCAAGUUAAAACCUUCUUUGAAGUUACUAUUAACAUUAUGAGUCUUCACACUUGGAGAAGUUCUUUUGCAAUUUUCAUUAGGCCCAUCACCAUGUUCAACAGCCUUGGAGUCUAGUACCAUCUCCACACUACUAUACCUGUGUAAUAAACUUAAAUUUUAUGCUCUAUGCAUCCCAAAGAACAGAAAACUAAGAAACAUAUGGUAUCAAUCUUGUAAGAAUUGCAGAUACAACCACAAUGUAUAUAUAAACAGAAAUAGGAAAUCCACACAACCACAACAUAGAGAUAUAACUUCAAAUUCACAAAACACUAAUACAUUUUAUCUCCACAUUAACAAAGUCAUUUAAGACUCUUAAUUUCAUUCAUUCUUUACAUUAAGUAGUCAAGAAGUUAAAUGAUCAUACCUCUUAGGAUUCUCAUCCAUUUGUCUCUCUGCAAUGUCCUCUCUCAGCUUAGGAUUCCUCGUCAAAACAUGUUGACGCAUUUCAUCUACCCAUGAACUCUCAAAUCCAAUCUCAAUAGCUUCUUCGCAUAGUUUAUGAAACUCUUUUUCUCUUUGAGGAGUAACAUUAUCAACACUUUCCUUCUGAAUGAACAACAACAUAUCUGCCAAAAUUUUCAACCUCCAAGCUUGAAAGCGCUCACUAAACUUCUUGCAAGCAUUCCAAAGAUGAGGAUAUGUUGUUAUCGCCUCCACCAGAAGAUCAAUUUGUGCACCAUCCAAAUCAACAAAAUGUUUAUAUGUUCCCAAUUUUGUACGGAUAUCUGCAGAAGCUAUAAAAAGUUUGAAAAGUGAUAUGAAAAUAUAGGAUUGAAACAAGAAAAUAAGAAAUAAAAAACCUGGAGAAAUGUCAAUAUUGUUGUUAGAAAUAAUAUGUAUCUCCUCUUGUUUGUCCAAUAGGUUCAACCCUUCUUCUACUUGGAUUUCUUGGCUUGGCAUGAUUCCUCCCUUUCCUUCAUUCAUCUUAUCAUCUUGUUCAACAACCUUGGAAUGUUGUGCAAGUAUGUCCACACCACCAGACUCAAUGUGAGUUCCAACACCACCUCCAAUGCUAAUGUCUUCAACCCCAGUUGUUAAAGGUUUUGUCUUAUCACCCUCUGCUGAAGGCCCCUCUUCAAUGCUCUCAAUUCCUAUGUUUCCAAUCUCCUUUGUAUCACAAAUUAAGAAAAUACAAUUGAGUGAGAGUUUAUAAAGUUUGAAAGGACCACUAUUUUUAAUGUAUAUCAUGUGGUGGUAUGAGAGUAGUUUGAUAAUUUUUAAUGGUUUUGUUACUAUUGCUUCUUCAAGUGCAUGUUUGUCUUAAUAUCACCAAAUUCAUUUUAGGUUUAGUAAUUAUUGCACCUACAUGCUAAGGUAUUUUAUGCAGAGAAGUUUCCAUACAAAUUAGAGGUGAGUUUCUAAAUUCUAAAAGAGUAGUUGGUAUUGCUAGUCUCUCAUUGAUGUUAGAACUAUUUCAAUAAAUAUUGUCAGUUUCAAGAAUACACUUUACAAUGCUCAAGCUAAGUUUUGUAAGGUAACUCUCAUUGUGACUAUACUUAUUUCUUCUUCAUAUUUAGUUUUUAAUUUCAAGUUCAUUCCUAAUUAGUUGACAUAUGAUGAUAUUAUCUAAUGCAGUUCCUUCUUCGACACCACUCAAUAUUCUGCAAUCUGCAUAUAAGUCCAGAAGAUGUGAAACUUGGUAUCUGCAUAAUGUCAACCGAACACUAAAAAAAAAAAGCUUACAAAAAAUAAAUAGUUACUAUAUUAACUAGAUAUACUAUCUUAUAAACUAAAAAAUUAGUAGUAUCUAAAGUUAUUUAUAUUAUUAAUAAAAUUUAUAAAUUAGUUUCUAUAUUGGUAUCUAAUUAGCUAAAACCUUCGUAGCUAAUUAGAUAUCAAUAUAAACACUAAUUUAUAAAUUUAUUAAUAAUAUAAUCAACUUUAGAUACUAAUAAUUUUUUUAGUCUCUAAUAUAAUAUAUAAUUUAAUUAACAUAGUAACUAAUUAUUUUUAUCUUUAAAACUAGUUUUUAUUUAAUAAUUUUCUUGUAGUGAAAAGUAAUGAUUGUCUCUCAAAACAUAGGGUAUUAUUUUACGAAGUUUUAAUUUAAUUUUUUAAAUUUCAUUGUGUCACAUAUCUUUUUAAAACUUUUCUCAAUUUUUAUUCUAAUACCAAGAUCUUACAAAAUUCACACACUACUGGUAAGUCAAUAAAUACUAGUAUUAAAAGACAAAAAAUAAUUAAUUAUGUACUAUCUUAAAAAUUAAAAACAUUAUUUGUAUCAAGAUUACUUUUUAUUAAUAUUAAUAAAAUUUAUAAACUAGUUUUUAAAUAUCAAAUUAGAAACUAGUUUAUAAAUUUGAUUAACAGUAAAAACUACUUUAAAUACCAAUAACUCUUUUAAUUUCUAAAACAAAAUAUAAUUUAGCCAAUAUAAUAAUUAAUUAUUUUUUAUUUUAAAAUUAAUUUUUUGUUAAUAAUUUUCUUGUAGUGUAUUUUAUUUCAUUGCUAGCAAAAAUAUAUAUUUUUAAGAUAACAAAAUAAUUUUUUACUUUUAUGAUUCAGGUACUUAUUUAAAAUCUCAAAUCUUAUUUUUCUAUCACGUAAGUUUAAAUUAAAAAAAUCCUAAUAAUGAGAGAAAAAGGUUAUUAAACUUUUUUUUAAUUGUAUUUAGAUUCAUAGAUUGGUUGGUUCUGACCUGUGAUGAAGUCAACUCACUCCUACAACUAAUUCUAUAAUCUUCAUCUAAACUGUCCAUCAAGGGACAUAUCUCCCAAAACGAAAGUUCAGUCCUUUUGAAAUCUGUAACAAAAAAUACAUAAAAAAGAAAUGCAACCUCAGCUUUUCAUGAUGAAUAAUUAUAUAAUUACAAUUAAAUAUAAAAAAUGAUUUAAAAAGUUUCAUUAUAGCAAUUUUUUUUUAUCACCCACCAAAACAAAGGAUCGAUUGUUUUCUUUAACCGUUCUUCCUAAUUACAAUUACUAGAGCUUAAAAUUAAAAAAAUUCAGCAAAUAAUAAUUUACUGUGUUUAUUUUAAAAAAUUUAGUAAAUACUUAGUUGGAAAUUUGAAACAGUCCUAUCUGAAUGAAAUAGUUAAUUUGAAAAGAAAUAUAGUAUUUACCUUUAUAAGGAAAAGUUUUCUUGAGCUUCUCCAAAGUAGUUGUUGGAGUCAAAGAUAGUUUUGGACAUUCGUAGACAACACAAUUCUUUAAAUUGGGCAAUUCAAUCUCUUGGUUGAAGUUUGAAAGAUGCGUAAAUAUUAAAACUUUGAUUCUUGGAAGUUCAAUUUUUGUCUUUCCUAUCUCAUCACUUUUUCCUUGUCCACGUCCAACAAACUCUUCUAGUUCAGAGGCUCCACUUAUGAUUAAAAGAUAAAGAUUAGGAAAGUCAUUAGAUGCAGAUCCAGAGAUAAAUCUUUUGAGUUUGUGGCAAUGUCCAACAUACAAUGCUUCUAGUUUUGGGAAGAAUGCCUGAGGAGAAAGAAGAUUAGACAAUUUGUUAUCCUCCACAUCCUCUUCAAUGAUUACUCUUAAUUCUUUGCAUUUUCUUAUCUUCACAAUACUCAACAUUGGUAGGCAUCUUAAAUCAUACUUUGAAAAGAUUACUUCCAAUUUUGCACAUCCAAUAAAUUCUAAUUUUUGAAGAUUUGAGAAGAUAAGAGAAUUGUUUGGAGCUCCUUGUUCACAUCCAACAAUCUGCUUCAAUUCCAUGCAUUCUUUUAUUAUUAGCUCUUUCAACUCUGGUAAGCUUCUUAAAACAGAGGGAGGAAAUAUUACUUUCAAUUUUGCACAUCCUAUUAUUUUUAAUGUAGUAAGAUGUUGGAGAUUAACUGAAUUCUUGGAAGCCACCCAAAUAUAAGUCAUUUGAGGUAUAUUUUCCAAUUUCAAACGCUCUAACCUUAAGCUCACUUGUUGCCCAAUCAUUCCAUCUCCAUUAAGACAAAAAAUACCUUCUACUUCAGAAUUGGUUACAGAUAUAUUUUGCAAAGUGAGAAGAGGGUUAUGAACCCCUUUUGGAUCCUGCAGGACAUUCGUAGGAAAUGAAAAAACUCCAAAAAGAAAACAAAAAAGGAACAAAUAACUAAUAAUCAUAAAAAAAAGACAAGACUACCUUCUUACUUGCGUUGAUAGGUUCUCUUGAAUCUGCAGGAGCCGUCAAGCAAUUAAUAGAAUUAUAAAACGGAUAGGAACAUUUAUAACAAGUAAACUCCUUCAAAGAUGACCACGUCACGGUGAGAUUGUUGGUAGCACAAAUGCUAACAAAAUUUGGUAGAUUAUAAAGAGCGAGCAUUUCCAAUGCUGAGAAAUGAAUAUGAAUCUCCUCACAAUCCUGAUUAGCUACGCAAUAUUGGCCAAACAUAUAUUUCAAUUGCCCACAAUCAAUCACGAUGAGCUCUCUUAAGUUUGGGAAGAUUGCAUUCAAAUUCUCUUUGCCAUAUUCAUCCUCAGUGUCUAUAAUGUGCUCAAGUCCUUGACAUUGCUCGAUUCUCAAGAUUUCCAACAUCAAUAAUGAAGCAACGGACAAUUUAAAAAUGUACUUUACCUUAUCAAAGUCAUUCAUGUUAAUCUCUCUUAUGUUAUGCAUAAUAAGCAAGGUCAAACCAUGUGGUGGUUUUGAAAUAUAUUGAACAUUUUCAAGAGAGGAAAUAGAAUCUGAGUUCGAUAUCUGCAAUACAUACACCAAGUUAC